rnacentral:rRNA from 1 species
CAAUCGCCACGGUAAAACGAAGGGGGCUAGCGUUGUUCGGAAUUACUGGGCGUAAAGCGCACGUAGGCGGAUAUUUAAGUCAGGGGUGAAAUCCCGCAGCUCAACUGCGGAACUGCCUUUGAUACUGGGUAUCUUGAGUAUGGAAGAGGUUAGUGGAAUUGCGAGUGUAGAGGUGAGAUUCGUAGAUAUUCGCAGGAACACCAGUGGCGAAGGCGGCUAACUGGUCCAUAACUGACGCUGAGGUGCGAAAGCGUGGGGAGCAAACAGGAUUAGAUACCCCCGUAGUCCCUGUCUCUUAUAC